rnacentral:rRNA from 1 species
AUUACUUUAUUGAAACUUCGGUCGAUUUAAUUUAAUUCUAGUGGCGGACGGGUGAGUAACGCGUGGGUAACCUGCCUUAUACAGGGGGAUAACAGUCAGAAAUGGCUGCUAAUACCGCAUAAGCGCACAGAGCUGCAUGGCUCAGUGUGAAAAACUCCGGUGGUAUAAGAUGGACCCGCGUUGGAUUAGCUGGUUGGUGGGGUAACGGCCCACCAAGGCGACGAUCCAUAGCCGGCCUGAGAGGGUGAACGGCCACAUUGGGACUGAGACACGGCCCAGACUCCUACGGGAGGCAGCAGUGGGGAAUAUUGCACAAUGGGGGAAACCCUGACGCAGCGACGCCGCGUGAAGGAAGAAGUAUCUCGGUAUGUAAACUUCUAUCAGCAGGGAAGAUAGUGACGGUACCUGACUAAGAAGCCCCGGCUAACUACGUGCCAGCAGCCGCGGUAAUACGUAGGGGGCAAGCGUUAUCCGGAUUUACUGGGUGUAAAGGGAGCGUAGACGGUGUGGCAAGUCUGAUGUGAAAGGCAUGGGCUCAACCUGUGGACUGCAUUGGAAACUGUCAUACUUGAGUGCCGGAGGGGUAAGCGGAAUUCCUAGUGUAGCGGUGAAAUGCGUAGAUAUUAGGAGGAACACCAGUGGCGAAGGCGGCUUACUGGACGGUAACUGACGUUGAGGCUCGAAAGCGUGGGGAGCAAACAGG